CUUAAAAUCUUGACUGUCAGUCACGGACCCCCUUGACGGCUCUCUAGGCCCCUGGUUAGAAAGCCUGGUCUGCCCAAGCCAGACCCUGGGCUGAGGGCCGGGGGGGGCGUUCGCAGCUGAUCUGGAGAAGCAGGAUGAAGGCCCAGCGUUAACCAUCCGCAGCUGUGGAGAGACACGAAGCCCCUUCUCAGUACCUCUGCCUCCCACGUGCCCACACGUGAGCUACCCCGGUCGUGAAGGGCGGCCCUGAGAGCGAGAAGCAGGUUUCCAGGGCUGGAGAGGGUAGCGUCAUCCAGAAACCUUGCGUGUCCCACACCCCUGGGAGGGUGGCCAGGCCUGCAGAGGCUGCAGGAAGAGACACCGGAGCCAUCCUAAGCCAGAAGGCCUUGACCGAGGCGGGUCUAGCGUGAACAGGACACAGGCACUGUCCCAGGCACUGGAGAUGGCGGCAGUGAAUAAGGCAUAAGGACGCCUGCCUUCGUGGAGCUUCCAUUCCCGCCGGAGAGAGACAGCAUGAACAGGACGCACAAGAGCCCUCCCUGAGCCUAGGCACCCUGCAGAUGCCUUCCCUGGUGGAGCCACUACCCAGCUGCCCUCUCUGAACCUUCAGACGGCGAGUUGGAGCAGGCACCAUUUCCCCCCCGGGGACCUGUGACACUUGGAGCAGUGAAGUCUCUUCUGGUUUAUCUGGAGGAAGGAAGAUGACGUCAUGAGAGCAGAAAACGGAGGCCAGAGAGAGGAAAGGAUUUGUUCACGGCCACACGACUAGCUGACAGCAGUGCAGGAACAAGAACGCAGGCUGUCCUCGCUCUGCUCUGGGGUUUCCCCUCCCCGCACUGCUGUACCCGUCCUCCUAUGAACUCCCAUCAGAGGCUUUCCCAGAUGUCACCGGCUGCAAGCAGAGGGCAAGUUUGGGGUUGGGGAGCACCGGUAUGUGGGUAUGGAGUUGAGGGAGGGCCCCGCGGGGCCAAGGGAGGCUUCUAAAGACACUUGGCCUCUUUUGCCACUUUCCCAGGGCCGACUCGGCACCUUGUGUGUGAGGAUUAGUCAUGAGCAACUGCUUGACCCCAAAAGUCAUAGUUCACUGGGUUGGUGUCACAAUGAAACUUUUCUGACUCAUGGCCUAGGACAACACAAAGCCCUAAGGGACCAGCUGGCAAUCCUGCUGGCCCCACCGGAUGCUCUGGGGGUCCCUCUUGCCUGGUGGCUGGGACUUUAAGGAAGGAGAGAGAGCAAUAGGCAGGCCGAGAGGCAGGCAGGCAGGCAAGCGGGCUCCAGCCUUUCAUGCGCCCCAGGCCUCUCUCUCCUUCCCCACCUCUGUUUCCUUGUCCAUAAGGUGGAAGGUCGGAUCGGAUGAUCUCUGAGUUUCUUCCCAGUCCGGUUCAGCCUCAGCUGUUCUUGGGGAGGACAGGGGGUUUGGCCAGGGGGUUUGCACCCAGCCCCUGGCCUGAAGAACUUCCGGAGCUUGGGGCUCUCCCACCCUGACUUCUCAUGCCCUCUGAGGCUCCCUGGGGCCCAGCUGCCCGCCCCGCCAAGCUUUUGUGCACCAUCAGCAGCAGAGCAACCCAAAUCCCCAGAUCCCACUGACUCGGUCCCGAAUGAGCAGAGCGAGGCCAGGGGAGGGCAAGGGACUUAUCCAUGGCCACAAAAGAGCCAGGGACCGGGACCUUCCCAGCGUACCAGCUGCCUCAGUGCCUGAAGGAACCCUCUCAUAGGGGAGCUGGAAGUCACCAGCUGAGGACUCCUCAGCCCCCCCUUCCCUGUCACCUUCACCCCAUGGGCACCGGCAUCAGCCCUGACCCUCUAGCACCUGGCUUUCGUCCUCUUCCUUGGUGCUUGUGGGCUUUUCUCACUCACUCGUUCCCAGAGGCAGCCAGCAGAGAGGAUGCUAGAGGCCGGCAGCCUGCGUGACCUGGGCUAAACUUUUAUUCUUGUUGUGCUUUCGUCUCUUGGCAGGAAAAUGGGGAUGCUAGUAAGGCUUCUCGCAGGGUUGUUGGGAGGCUUCAACGCAUUGACACGAUAACGUGCUUGGACCAGGGCCUGGCACGAGAGUACUCAGUAAAUGCUAUCAUUCAUUCAUGCACUCAUUCAUUCAGUGAUCCUAUCCUGUCUGUUUCUAAAAAGCUUUGCGAUGACUCACAAUGGCAAAGACAGAUAUUAUAGGCCUUUGAAGUAGGGUUUUAUUUUUAUUUAUUUUUAAAAUGUUUUAACACUUAUUCAUUUUUGAGAGACAGAGACAGGGUGGGCGUGGCGGAAGGGCAGAGAGAGAGGCAGACACAGAAUCCGAA